GUUAAUACUACAUAUUAUGUAAAAUGACAAUUUUACCCUCCAACAACCCUAAUCUAAUUAACAGCACUAUUUUCAUCUCUCUCUCUCGCCUUCCCCCCUCUCUCUCGCACACCGCUUUCUCUCGCUCUCUCUCUCUCUCGACGUCUCUCUCUCUCUCUCUCGCACGAACACGUAUCAUCUUCUAUUGCGUCGUCCUCCCAGGUAAUCAUCACGAUCUCCUUCCCUCCAUUCGUCAUUUUCGCAAAAAAUAAUAUUCAAAUGACCACAACAAGGGUAAUUUUAGAAAAAACUAUACUUUUAUGUCAGGAUUACUAAAUUUUAUAAACUGAACCAAACGUAUUAAUGCUAUAAAUACUGUAAUCUAGUAUUACAUUACUGCAUUAAACCAAACGCGCUAAAGUAGCAUCAGUAGUAAUCUCACGUCGAAAUCCAAGAUAUCUGGAUAUAUCGAGUUACUUUGUAAUAUUACAUAACUCGAAUCAAACGGACCCUUAAGUCAUUUUUAUUUUCUAAUCCAUCAAAAAGAGACUAGAUUAGGAAUUUUUUUAAGAAGCAUUAGUUCAAAUUAAAAUUUGCCCCGAAUUCGAUCC
rnacentral:lncRNA from 1 species